rnacentral:misc_RNA from 1 species
AACGAGGCCGACCUGCGGCUGAGUUACCUGCGGAGGGAUCAUUACCGAGUUUACAACUCCCAAACCCCUGUGAACAUACCAAUUGUUGCCUCGGCGGAUCAGCCCGCUCCCGGUAAAACGGGACGGCCCGCCAGAGGACCCCUAAACUCUGUUUCUAUAUGUAACUUCUGAGUAAAACCAUAAAUAAAUCAAAACUUUUAACAAUGGAUCU